rnacentral:rRNA from 1 species
UACAGAGGGUGCAAGCGUUGUUCGGAAUUAUUGGGCGUAAAGCGCGUGUAGGCGGCUUUGCAAGUCGGGUGUGAAAGCCCUCAGCUUAACUGAGGAAGUGCGCCCGAAACUGCAGAGCUUGAGUACCGGAGAGGAUGGUGGAAUUCCCCAAGUAGAGGUGAAAUUCGUAGAUAUGGGGAGGAACACCGGUGGCGAAGGCGACCAUCUGGACGGUAACUGACGCUGAGACGCGAAAGCGUGGGGAGCAAACAGG